GCGAGAAUAGCUCAGUUGGUAGAGCGUAAGCUUCCCAAGCUUAAGGUCGCGGGUUCGAGACCCGUUUCUCGCUCAA
rnacentral:tRNA from 2 species